rnacentral:misc_RNA from 1 species
AAGUCGUAACAAGGUAACCGUAGGUGAACCUGCGGUUGGAUCAUUAAAAAAAAAGUUCGGGACCGGAAUACUCCGCUCGUUCAUCCGGAAACCCGUGUCACCAACAGGUGACAACUUUCCACAUCUUGUGAACCUAUUGAACCGUCCCUGGCGUGGGGGGAGAGGGUCUGUGCAUGCGCAGCGAAUCUCUUGUCAGCCCUUGAUGGUCUGCUGCUCCUUUGCGAAGGGGUGGCGGGACAUCGAGCUUGGCCGUGGACAUCCCGCCAAAUUCUGCCUCCCAUCUUGGGAGGCGUCUCUUGACCACAUCUUGUAAUGAUUGGAAUCGAUUCUGAGGAACUUUGCGAAUGCUCUGUGCUUCGCAAGAGAAACAAAUGAUCUAAAAACAACUUUUGGCAACGGAUCUCUUGGCUCUC